UGCAGUCGUACGAUGGAUAGCCCGGCUUGCUGGGUGGAUUAGUGGCGAACGGGUGAGUAACACGUGAGUAACCUGCCCUUGACUUCGGGAUAACUCCGGGAAACCGGGGCUAAUACCGGAUAUGAGCUACCUUCGCAUGGGGGUGGUUGGAAAGUUUUUCGGUCAGGGAUGGGCUCGCGGCCUAUCAGCUUGUUGGUGGGGUGAUGGCCUACCAAGGCGACGACGGGUAGCCGGCCUGAGAGGGCGACCGGCCACACUGGGACUGAGACACGGCCCAGACUCCUACGGGAGGCAGCAGUGGGGAAUAUUGCACAAUGGGCGAAAGCCUGAUGCAGCGACGCCGCGUGAGGGAUGAAGGCCUUCGGGUUGUAAACCUCUUUCAGCAGGGAAGAAGCGCAAGUGACGGUACCUGCAGAAGAAGCGCCGGCUAACUACGUGCCAGCAGCCGCGGUAAUACGUAGGGCGCAAGCGUUGUCCGGAAUUAUUGGGCGUAAAGAGCUCGUAGGCGGUUUGUCGCGUCUGGUGUGAAAACUCGAGGCUCAACCUCGAGCUUGCAUCGGGUACGGGCAGACUAGAGUGCGGUAGGGGAGACUGGAAUUCCUGGUGUAGCGGUGGAAUGCGCAGAUAUCAGGAGGAACACCGAUGGCGAAGGCAGGUCUCUGGGCCGCAACUGACGCUGAGGAGCGAAAGCAUGGGGAGCGAACAGGAUUAGAUACCCUGGUAGUCCAUGCCGUAAACGUUGGGCACUAGGUGUGGGGCUCAUUCCACGAGUUCCGUGCCGCAGCAAACGCAUUAAGUGCCCCGCCUGGGGAGUACGGCCGCAAGGCUAAAACUCAAAGGAAUUGACGGGGGCCCGCACAAGCGGCGGAGCAUGCGGAUUAAUUCGAUGCAACGCGAAGAACCUUACCAAGGCUUGACAUGCACGGGAAGCCACCAGAGAUGGUGGUCUCUUUGGACACUCGUGCACAGGUGGUGCAUGGUUGUCGUCAGCUCGUGUCGUGAGAUGUUGGGUUAAGUCCCGCAACGAGCGCAACCCUCGUCCAUGUUGCCAGCGGGUUAUGCCGGGGACUCAUGGGAGACUGCCGGGGUCACUCGGAGGAAGGGGGGGAUGACGUCAAAUCAUCAUGCCCCUUAUGUCUUGGGCUU
rnacentral:rRNA from 1 species